rnacentral:rRNA from 3 species
AGAGUUUGAUCCUGGCUCAGGAUGAACGCUGGCGGCGUGCCUAAUACAUGCAAGUCGAGCGAACGGACGAGAAGCUUGCUUCUCUGAUGUUAGCGGCGGACGGGUGAGUAACACGUGGAUAACCUACCUAUAAGACUGGGAUAACUUCGGGAAACCGUAGCUAAUACCGGAUAAUAUUUUGAACCGCAUGGUUCAAAAGUGAAAGACGGUCUUGCUGUCACUUAUAGAUGGAUCCGCGCUGCAUUAGCUAGUUGGUAAGGUAACGGCUUACCAAGGCAACGAUGCAUAGCCGACCUGAGAGGGUGAUCGGCCACACUGGAACUGAGACACGGUCCAGACUCCUACGGGAGGCAGCAGUAGGGAAUCUUCCGCAAUGGGCGAAAGCCUGACGGAGCAACGCCGCGUGAGUGAUGAAGGUCUUCGGAUCGUAAAACUCUGUUAUUAGGGAAGAACAUAUGUGUAAGUAACUGUGCACAUCUUGACGGUACCUAAUCAGAAAGCCACGGCUAACUACGUGCCAGCAGCCGCGGUAAUACGUAGGUGGCAAGCGUUAUCCGGAAUUAUUGGGCGUAAAGCGCGCGUAGGCGGUUUUUUAAGUCUGAUGUGAAAGCCCACGGCUCAACCGUGGAGGGUCAUUGGAAACUGGAAAACUUGAGUGCAGAAGAGGAAAGUGGAAUUCCAUGUGUAGCGGUGAAAUGCGCAGAGAUAUGGAGGAACACCAGUGGCGAAGGCGACUUUCUGGUCUGUAACUGACGCUGAUGUGCGAAAGCGUGGGGAUCAAACAGGAUUAGAUACCCUGGUAGUCCACGCCGUAAACGAUGAGUGCUAAGUGUUAGGGGGUUUCCGCCCCUUAGUGCUGCAGCUAACGCAUUAAGCACUCCGCCUGGGGAGUACGAC